rnacentral:snRNA from 1 species
GUGUUCGCUUCAGCAGCACAUAUACAAAAAUUAGAAUGAUACAGAGAAUAUUAGCAUUGCUCCUGCAAGGAUGACAUGCAAAUUCAUGAAGCGUUCCAUAUUUUU